AUCUCUUUGUAUAUAUCCAUUUUUAUUGUUUUACUUGUUUCUUUACAUAUGGUAUUUCAAAAUACGAGCUCUUUCAUUUCCAAUGUUUAACUAAACCUUUCAUUAGCAGAAGACACACACACUUAUUAAAACAAUACACAUAUAUACUCAACAUUUAAUUAAGACAAAUGAAGGUGGUCACUAACAAUGGCAAACAAGCAGACACCAAAACAUCACCAAUCAUACUACUCCAUUCAGACAGGCACUGUACAGACAGACAUGAAAUCCAUGAAAAACACUGGCAAAAAUAAUAUCUUAUGGCAAAUGCAGAGACUUUGGGACAGGGAAGAAAAUGAAUCAUACAUUUUAUGAAUAAAAUAGAUCUCAAUCACAAUAAGGGAAAGAAAAAAAAAAACAUGAAUGAAAUAUUUUCAUUACAGGAUUCAAACAGCCAAUGAAAUCACAGGGAAGACAAAAAAUAUCCUUUUUACCCAAAGAAAACUUACCACUUUGACCUUCACCCAACAACAACUAGGUCAAUAUAACACUGAUAAUAAUUGGAAAAUGUUAGAAGCCUACUUGUCUAUUCUCACUCAAUAACUACUGGUCUGAUAAUAUAAAUGUACAUAGUUAACUAUUUCUCAUAUUGGUACUUUCUUUAAAAUAAAUCAAUAAAGAAAGAAUUUGCAAUAAAAAAAAUGCACACAAAAAAAUAAAUAGAUGGGCAUCAUUUUCCAAAAAAAUAACCAACUUUUUCCAGCCUCUGACAUUAUUCAGUGCAAGUAAUUGUUCAACUAAAAAAAAACAUCAAAAAAUUAAACUUAAACAAUUUGAUUGAUGCCUUUUUUGUUUUAAGCAUUUACAUAAACAAAGUUAAUAAGAAUUAAAUCAGAUUUAAACAAAAUAAUAAAACAAACAAAGAAAAGCAUCAAAGACAAAGGUCAAGCAGUUGCCAACUUUUAAAAAGCAGCACUUGUGUUGAGGGACUAGAUAGACACUAACUGCUGCAAAUUAGCAGCAAAAAAAGAAUUAUUUCCUUCUCAGCAGUUUCUUUUUUAUAUUACAAAAAAAAAUAGGUUGAAGAAACUUUUUUUUUUAAAAGCAUAAAGGUCAUGGUUACCAACUUCAUAUAUAAAAACUUGUAACAUACACCUUUCUGAAUCUUUCAUGUCUUUACACAUUUAUAACAGACUUUUUUUUACACAUGUUUAUGACAGUUGUUACUUGUUAGUCUCAAUAUGUCAAUGAUAUUACUUGGACAGUAAUGUCUGUAAUUGCUCAUUUUGAUUGGCAUACUUUUUUUUUUCUCUUAGUGACAUAAUUUUGAAAAAAAAAAAUUUAAGCCUAUUUUUUUUAAUUUUUUUUACUGACAAUUGAUUUGGCAACCCAAGAAACAAUAUGAAUACAUACAUUUUUUUUUUAUGACUGAAACAAAGGACCAUUUAGCAGUUCCAAAGCUGACAUUGCUAUUUUUAAAAGAUGCUGCCAGCUAAUAUAACAUAUAGCAUUUACUUUUAAAAAAAAUAUUAAAAAAUAAAAUAAUUUUAGGAAAUAAUCGGACAAAGUUACACGAUACAUAAAUAAGAAAUAGUCACCAAGGAAGCACAUUUAAAAAAAAAAAAAUUUUCAUCUGAGCAAAUCACAAAUCAAAUAUCUGAUUUACAUUUUUUGUUUCAAUUCAUUCACAGCUAUAAAUAUUCAACAAUACAGCCAUUGGCAUUUUAAAAUACCAAUUUAAUUACAAUACAGUACCAGCAGUCUAAAUGACAUUUCUUUACUUCUAACAAAAUUGUAAAAAAAAAAAAACAGCAUAUUUCCUGAUAUAUAUAUAUAGACACUCACCCAUUGUAUGUGCAUCACAAAUAUUGAAAUCGAAAGACAAGACCAGGGAUGCAGGGGAAAGGACUGUAUAUUUAUACUACAUGAAAAUGGGUAGGGGAGAUAGUUAUAUUCACUUCCUGCUUUAGAGGAAAUAUUUUUUUAAAGUCAACAAUAAAAAAUGUUGAUGGUAAAAGAAAAAAAAAAACAGAAAUAGCACUAAAAUAUUUACAUUAAAUUACAUAAUUUAUAUUUAUACAACUGUACAAACAAUCAUGAAAAAAACUAAACGUUUUGAUUUGCUAUGCAGAAAUGACUCAAAAUUUUAUUUGUUGAAAAAAAAUGGACUAAAAAAAUGUAACCAAACAAAAUAAGCAUACAUUUUUAAUUCUGUAAAUCUCCAAGAAUGAAUUACUAGUAAAUGAAGUUUAAAAUAAGUUUUGUACAAGUUGAUUUAUAAACAUAAUGAGCCAUUCUUGAAUCGCAAAUUCUCUUUAAUAAGAGAAAGUCUAUUAUAUACAUCUUCUACUACAGUGUGUUAUUAAACUCCAACUGGUUCUCCUUGACCAAGUCCCAGGUCAAAACAAAGGCUAUAAAUAAACAUAAUGAAUUAUUUUUACUCCAAUAAAAAACAACAAACAAACAACCCAGAAAGUAAAGGAAAACUCACAGCCUUCAACAAUAUAUACUUCAUCACUUAUCACUUCAUGCUAGUCAUUUCCAGAAGUUUUAAGCCAACUGUAAUUUUCCACAUUGUACGUCUGGUGUUUGAAAAGUUGGAAUUAUCACAAGAACCAUUUUUAAUCUCAUCAUGUAUUGGAUGCACUUUAACAGAACUGGAGGGCAGGAAGGCAUAUAUAUAGCCAAGUUAGUUUUUACAACACAAGAAAACUCAUUGUACAGUAUUGUUAAUUAAGUCUUUCAUCUUUACAAAUAAAGUGACAAAAAAAAAAGUAGAAUAUAAGAAAUUGAAUUAUAAACAAGCCUAGAAAUAGUGAAUGGUAAAAAACAAAAAAGAAAUUAUUCAUCAAAAAUUACUUUGAAAUAAGUGUUUCCUUCCCCCCCACCCCUUUUUAAUGUUCUUGUAC